AUGACGUCCUCGCGACGCCAAUCACCAUGCCGUCUUGCCGUGGACGACGCCCUCGCGGCGCCAAGUACCACGACCUCCUGCCACAUGCAGCAACCAUCUCUUGACGUGGAUGGCGGCGCCGAUCGCCACGCCGUCAACAUCUUGCGGCAUCGCACCGCAACCGGCCACCAGCGGCAUCACGCCACCGACAGCCUCCACCUUGCGCCGCCGUCCUCCACCUCACAUGGAGUAGGCCGCGCUGCCGUCGUCGCCUCGGAUCGACAAGGCUCUGAUGCCAAUUGUUGGCGCCAUCUCUCCUUGCAGCACCGCUUCUUCUUCCUCCUGAGCUGCCUCUCACAACUCAAUCUCCAUCUCUCUUUGUCUCUCUCAAGAACACACACUACACGGUCAUGGUGA
rnacentral:rRNA from 1 species